rnacentral:rRNA from 1 species
UACGUAGGGACCGAGCGUUGUCCGGAUUCAUUGGGCGUAAAGAGCUCGUAGGCGGCUGUUCAAGUCGAACGUGAAAACUCGGGGCUCAACUCCGAGCCUGCGUUCGAUACUGGAUGGCUAGAGUCUGGUAGGGGGAUCUGGAAUUCCUGGUGUAGCGGUGGAAUGCGCAGAUAUCAGGAGGAACACCAGUGGCGAAGGCGGGCAUCUGGGCCAACACUGACGCUGAGGCGCGAAAGCUAGGGGAGCAAACGGG